rnacentral:lncRNA from 1 species
GCGGCAGCAGCACAGGCACAUACAGCUGCAGCCUCUAACGUCCAGGCUGGUUCUGUGGUUAAACCCAGCAGGCAGGUAGCUCCGUGGCUGCGGCACCCUAGGGGAUCCUCUCGCCAGGGACCUUGCUCCUCACACAGGUUUCUCAUCUCUAAAGCGGAGGACACAGAAGCCUGCCGUGCUGCAGAGCACCCUGCACCACCAGUAGCCAGCCCCAGGAGGCACAGAUAUGGCUGAGGCUGAGCCGCUGGUCAGAAUUCCUGCACCUAUUGCUCGUGCCAUUUUGCAGGAAUCGAGCUCUCCUCUCCCGCAGGUACUUCUGAAAGCAAAUGCUUCUGAAUCCGGAGGGAGCCGAGCCGUCCUGGUGGAGCAGCAGCAGACAAAACCCCAGGGGCGAAGGCACACGGACCUGAUUUCGGGACAACAUCGCGUGCGCCUGCCCGGGGCUCGGCUCGGCGGAGCUGGGAGUUUGGGCAACCAAAUCCCACCCAAGCAGAGACGUGUGCCAGUGGGCGCAGUCACAGCAGCACCUUGCAGCACCCAGCGAUGUCAUGCAGGCUUCCACGCUGCUGUAAACAAGGCUGGCGCCGAGCUGUCAAGCCAGCACACUUCCUCCUGCCUGCAGGGCUGCACUCCGCUGGGGUUCUGCCCGACAAGGUAAGGCUGAUUUUAAGCUCUCUUUUUCCGAUCUAGAACAGGCGUUAAUGAGCCUUUGCUGCCUCCUGCGAACGUGUUGCCCUUCUUGGGCUUUUCCUUAGGGCUUAGGAGCCAGGAGGAGAUCCGUGGAGCUUUGUAUCUUGAAACAGCAGAUCUCCUCGCGUGCCAAUCCUCUGUGUGAACACAUGGAGGAGUGAAAACAGCGGCUGCAUGAAGUUGCUGUCACUAGAUGAAGCAAAAUUUUAUAGCGUGGGCAAUUACUGGUUCUCUGACUGUUCUCCAGUGUCACUGUAGGCAUGGAUUCCUUCUUUUUCAUGAUUCCUCAGAGGAUAUCUAUAUCCUCUAUCUAUAUCCUCUAUCUAUAUCCUCUAUCCUAUCUAUCUCUAAGUACAUUAAAGGAGGCUGUAGCGAGGUGGGGGUUGGUCUAUUCUCCCAUGUGCCUGGUGACAGGACGAGGGGGAACGAGCUAAAGUUGCACCAGGGAUGUUUUAGGUUGGAUAUUAGGAAGAACUUCUUUACCGAGAGGGUUGUUAGGCAUUGGAAUGGGCUGCCCAGGGAAGUGGUGGAGUCACCAUCCCUGGAGGUCUUUAAAAGACGUUUAGAUGUAGAGCUUAG